GCUCUACAAAUCUCGAACUUGUAUGGAACAAAUUUUUCUCUGUUAUAUAUUUUGUGUUUUGUUUUUGUUUUGUUUUGUUUUUCUAAAAGAAGCCUUGGUGUCUCUCCGGUUGCAUGUCCGUCGCAUUCAGUGCUGCAGCACUUUGAUUUAUUAUUUGAAAUAAAAGCUACAGAUAAAAAACUUCAUAUUUUGUCCGGUAAUAUGUAGGACCCCAGUCAAUCUGGCAGCGAAUUAAAAUGACAUUAAUUAAAGGGAGGUAAUAAAAUUCACAAGUUAAUGAUUUUAUGGCCACAAAUUGUAUGGUUAUUAACAAUUUUUACUGAAUUAAUAUUGUUUAAUAAAAGAACAAUUGGACUGAAUAAAAUCGCAAGCGUUUCUUUCAUAAUUAAAAAUGAAGAGAUUGUAAUAAAUAUGAUGUACUUAUAUAUAAAUACAUUGUUUAACGAUUACUCACUUCCCCUCGGAGCGUGCACGUCACUGAGAAGGCACAGGGCAUCGGCAGAAGAUUUACAACUUGGCUGGUAGACAACUUAGAUUUUGCCUUCAACCGUGGGCGGUAACUACGGAACUCCUACUUCGUCACUUCUGCGGACCAGCUGCCGAUGUCCUGACUAAUGCCGAGGGGAGUGGCCCUACUAAGUAGGCUGAGACGACGAGGAUGGUGUACUAGGGUGCGUGAGCCCCUAGUACAGAUAGACGGCUUGUAAGGCAGGCCUAUAGCUGGCACCAACAGCCCUUUUCAGGGCUAAACACCUUUCCUAUUGUCACAGGUUACUGUACAUUUAGGUUCUCAUUGACCGCCGUACAGUGACCUACUUUUCGGCUCAAAAUUCAUAUCUUUGGCUAAUACUCCGUGGAAAUUGCAUGGAGGUAAAUUAUCACCAUUUUGUGCUUCAAAAUUAACUCUUUAAGGACAUGACUGGUGACAUGUCCGGGGUCCGUACUCGACAGCGCAAGCUGCAUUUUGUGCCCAAAAGGGCGGAUGGACCCUCAUUAAGCUUUAACUACAUACAUACUUAACGUUUACUACUAUUGAGCAUAUAGCUGUGGUUUUAAUAAUUUGAUUAUAAGUUUUUCUUUUUCUUCUCUAAAAUUGUCACUUUCGUUUAAUAUCUUAUAUAGAGGGAAAAUGUUAAACAGUUAGAAAGGAAAUGUUCGGAACCCUUUCCGGACAAUACAGUUUUUGCAGCAUAAGAUAACACAAAAUAUAUUUCAUGUAACUUCUAUAGUAAAAGAAAGUGGCAUUGCAUUCAGUGAUUGAAAUAUUUCAUCCAUUUUUAGAAGAAACCUGUAAUUUAGAUCAUUUACUUUAUUUGUGAUAGUUCGAUUCAACUAGACACAUCAAACAAAUUGUGUUGUAAGCAAACAGUUGAUAAUUAAAUUUCACUAACAUACGCCUUUCGCAUUACAGUUAAAAAACAACACAAUACACAUAAGCCAGGGAGACACAGUGUCACUUCUUGAGAAUAGAAGUAAGGCGUUAACUGAACUUGACGACAGAACAGCAAAAUCAUUGCGUAAACUUGACGAGAAAACAGCAGAAUCAUUGCGUAAAAUAAACACAGCCGAGAAACAAGUAAAACGGAAGAUUGAUGAUGGUAUAUCUGAAAUUGAAAAAUCUGUAGAAAAGGCAAAAAAAAGAAUUGUGAGAGAAAAGGGGCUGCAGAGCCGAAGGAGGAAAAUUCAAGAACUAAAAGAUGAUCUUAUAACAUGGUACAACCAGACCAAUCAGAGUACAGUUUACCUUUCACCACUCACAGAUGCUUUCCCUACACCUCUUGCGGGGUUCUACAUUAUGCCAGAAAUUGACAUACAGACAUAUCUGCCAGGCGGAAGGAAAGAAACAACUAG